rnacentral:lncRNA from 1 species
UUCCUCUAAGUCAGAUUUUCAUUUCUGCAUUUUCCCUCUCUCUAAAAGAAGAAGUUCUUAUGCCCUAACCAAGUUCCUCCAUCUUCUCUCUAAAAUUCCAGAAAUCUGAACCGUGCAAAUUUUAAUUGAGUGCUGCCAAACCCUUCCUGGCGGAAAGGGCUUCCAUUUGAACCGAACACUUCUCAGUUUCAAUUGGUAAGUAAGUUUCCCCUUUUCCCUCCACUGUCCUAACCUAAGGGAACCAAUUUUCUGGUUGCAUGUACUUUCCACAUUUUAUUUUCCUUCCAAUUUGUUCCAGCUCUAAAAAUGUUGUUUCUAUCAUCAAAAUUGGUGAGUUAUAGGUCCUGUCCUGUUCAGCACAGUGUAAGGGUUACUGUUGGAGCGUUCCCUGAAUUUUUGGUUGUAAACUUUCCAGGUAAGAGGAGCUGAUUAUAUAAAUUAAUUUAUUUGUGUGAUAUGAUGGUAUAUUAAGUUCUGAAAUAUGUAUAUUGUUGGGCCUGUAUAUUAUGUUGUUGUGCUUAAAUAAAAAUUUUAUAUGUAUGUGUGGUGUGUAAAGUUUAUUGUGAAUGAUUAGGCAAAUAUAUAAUGUAGUAUAUAAUUUGGAUCAUUAUGGAUUAUUGUCAAAAUUGGUGCUUAGUGAAAGGUUCAUGCAAUUGCAAGUAAGGAUAUAGAUUUCAAUGUUUAAGUUAUAUUUUAGAAGUAAUCAGAGUACUGUAACAGUUUAACUUUCUUAUAAACAUCAGUACAUUAUAUAUGUAGUAUAUAUACAAUACCAAAGUACAACAGCGAUUAAAUAGAGAAUAUGAAAAUAUCUGAAUUCUUUUAUGAUGUUCAUUCGGUAUUGGGAUUGGUUCAACAAUCCUUACUUUGCUUUAUGAUGUAGUAUAUUUGAUUGUUUAAGUAGUUUAAGUCACGUAACAUAUAUUUCUCUGGUAGCUGAUGCAGGAAGUUUAUUUUAGUGCAGUAUUUAUGGUUUCUUUUUUUUUAUACCUUAUAUUAUAUUAUAUUAUCAUAUUUUAUAAAGAAGUAUUUGAAACGUUAUAUAAGUUAUAUACUGUAAUGUAAGUACAAGGUAAUUAUGUUUUUAAUAUUAUAUAAGCUAUAUUAUGUAAUAUUAGUAUAAGUAAUUGUGUUUGAAAAUUUAGAAAACAAAAGUGUGGAUUACGUAUGUUGCAGGAAUUUUGGGUUUAAGUGUUGAGUAAGAUUGGUAAUAGUAUAUUAUACUAUAUUAUAUAUUAUAUUCGAUGUUUCUUCAUUUUCUUUAGGUUCUUUUAUAUUAUAUAAUAAUAAAUUAUAUUGUAUAUUAACAUUAUAUAGUAUUAUAUAUAAAAGGUGUAGGGGAUUAGUUACAUAUAAAUUAUAUUAACAUUACAUAGUAUCAUAUAUAAAAGGUGCAGGGGAGUAAUUAUAUAUAAAUUAUAUUAACAUUAUAUAGUUUUACAUAUAAUUAUUCGGUUCGUAUAAUAUAAUAGUAUAAUAUUAUAAUUUGAAUGUUGGUUUAAUAUAAAUUAAAAAUGUUUGUGCAAAUGGUUUAAUAGAAAAUUUGUAAUAGAAGUAUGGUUUAAUAUAACUAUUAUAAUAUAGCAGAAGGAAACAGAGUUUUAUAUAUGUACAGGGUCUAGGUAUUGGAAAUAAAUUGUAAAAGAUUAUGGUAUCGAUUAACUUAGAUUAAUUUAGGAAAAUAUUUAUUUUAAAAUUUGUGAUUGGUGAGUAAGGCAUUGUUGAGAUUAUGUAUAUGUUGAUUGUGAUAUAAAGUAUAUGAUUACAAAGUGAUGAAAGUACGAUCUAAGUAGUAAACCAAGUUCCAUAAGUUCAAGAUCUCUUGGUGAGAUCUUUAGUGUUUUAAAAUGGAAGUAGGGGCUCAGCCUUGAGAGUCAUUCUGACGCUUCAAUGGUCAAUCAAACUCACUUAGAGAGGUUGAACCAUGUGGUGAGAAGUAGCAGGAGGUCCUUAGUCUUGGGGGCUCCCAGUAUGCCUCAAGGCGCGGAACGGACUAACCUCGUGAGUGUGGCAGGAUGGGGAACCCAAGUUUCAUAAGUCACCACGGGUGCAAGACUCGCCAUAGCCCGACUCUCAUUUUAAAGUCCGGACGAGUCAGUCUAGAAAUUCACACGCUUAGGUUGUGUUCAUCAACUGUUUGAUAAAAAUUAUGACUGUAUGUUAUAUGAUCUAAUAUGAGUUGUUUGAUUUUAUAUAAUUAGCUCACCCUUGCUUGUUUGUCUGGUUGCUUUGUAUGUUGUGUGUUUUCCUGUUACGAUAAUCGUCCAUUUAUGGAUGUGAGCAGAGGAGAAUGAGGUCUCUGUGGAGAACGUUCUGGAGGAACAAGAAGACCCUGCUGCUGCCUA